UUAUUCUUGUGUAAGGAAUGAGAGGGUAGAUUUUGACUAUCAAUAUUAGGAAGGGCAGAUGUUGACUCACUGGCAAGCGUACCAGAUCGUUCAAGUAAUAUAAUCGGUAAAUCCCGAUAUCGUUCUUCCCAAGAGACUCGAAAGGCCUUAUCGUUCGUGUGAAUCGAGAUCGUAAGACUUGUAAAGAAAAAUUAAUUGUUUGGAAUGCAAAGACAGAAAAUAAACAUGCAAUGUGUUUGAUUCAAUUGACGAAAAAAAUUAUGGAUGAAUGGAGUUGUUGGGGGUUGACAAUUUCAUCUUAUCCUCU
rnacentral:lncRNA from 1 species